rnacentral:rRNA from 1 species
UACGUAGGGGGCAAGCGUUGUCCGGAAUUAUUGGGCGUAAAGGGCGUGUAGGCGGUAUCGUAAGUCAGGUGUGAAAGUUUUGAGGCUUAACCUCAAAAUUGCACUUGAAACUGCAAUACUUGAGUACUGGAGAGGUAAGUGGAAUUCCUAGUGUAGCGGUGAAAUGCGUAGAUAUUAGGAGGAACACCAGUGGCGAAGGCGACUUACUGGACAGUUACUGACGCUGAGGCGCGAAAGCGUGGGGAGCAAACAGGG